CAGUGGGGAAUAUUGGACAAUGGGGGCAACCCUGAUCCAGCAAUUCUGUGUGCACGAAGAAGGUUUUCGGAUUGUAAAGUGCUUUCAGCAGGGAAGAAGGAAGUGACGGUACCUGCAGAAGAAGCGACGGCUAAAUACGUGCCAGCAGCCGCGGUAAUACGUAUGUCGCGAGCGUUAUCCGGAAUUAUUGGGCAUAAAGGGCAUCUAGGCGGCCUGACAAGUCAGGGGUGAAAACCUGCGGCUCAACCGCAGGCCUGCCUUUGAAACUGUUAGGCUGGAGUACCGGAGAGGUGGACGGAACUGCACGAGUAGAGGUGAAAUUCGUAGAUAUGUGCAGGAAUGCCGAUGAUGAAGAUAGUUCACUGGACGGCAACUGACGCUGAAGUGCGAAAGCUAGGGGAGCGAACAGGAUUAGAUACCCUGGUAGUCCUAGCUGUAAACGAUGAUUACUGGGUGUGGGCAUGAAGAGUGUCCGUGCCGAAGCUAAUGCGAUAAGUAAUCCGCCUGGGGAGUACGGCCGCAAGGCUGAAACUCAAAGGAAUUGACGG
rnacentral:rRNA from 1 species